CGACACAGGUGGUCAGGUAGAGAAUACCAAGGCGCUUGAGAGAACUCGGGUGAAGGAACUAGGCAAAAUGGUGCCGUAACUUCGGGAGAAGGCACGCUGAUAUGUAGGUGAAGUCCCUCGCGGAUGGAGCUGAAAUCAGUCGAAGAUACCAGCUGGCUGCAACUGUUUAUUAAAAACACAGCACUGUGCAAACACGAAAGUGGACGUAUACGGUGUGACGCCUGCCCGGU
rnacentral:rRNA from 1 species